rnacentral:rRNA from 1 species
UGGGGAAUAUUGCACAAUGGGCGCAAGCCUGAUGCAGCCAUGCCGCGUGUAUGAAGAAGGCCUUCGGGUUGUAAAGUACUUUCAGUCGGGAGGAAGGUGUCAAGGUUAAUAACCUUGGCGAUUGACGUUACCCGCAGAAGAAGCACCGGCUAACUCCGUGCCAGCAGCCGCGGUAAUACGGAGGGUGCAAGCGUUAAUCGGAAUUACUGGGCGUAAAGCGCACGCAGGCGGUCUGUCAAGUCGGAUGUGAAAUCCCCGGGCUCAACCUGGGAACUGCAUUCGAAACUGGCAGGCUAGAGUCUUGUAGAGGGGGGUAGAAUUCCAGGUGUAGCGGUGAAAUGCGUAGAGAUCUGGAGGAAUACCGGUGGCGAAGGCAGCCCCCUGGACGAAGACUGACGCUCAGGUGCGAAAGCGUGGGGAGCAAACAGG